rnacentral:sRNA from 1 species
GCGAGACAUGCUGUCCGCCGAACGGCAGCGACGGAUAAACUGGGGCCGGACCGUGCCGGGCGCAGCUCCCGGCAGUCCGCCAAAUGAUCAGCCAGCAGCCGCUGCAACCCCAGGGAG